AUGCACGCUGGCGGCGUGCCUAAUCCAUGCAAGUCGAGCGAACGGACGAGAAGCUUGCUUCUCUGAUGUUAGCGGCGGACGGGUGAGUAACACGUGGAUAACCUACCUAUAAGACUGGGAUAACUUCGGGAAACCGGAGCUAAUACCGGAUAAUAUUUUGAACCGCAUGGUUCAAAAGUGAAAGACGGUCUUGCUGUCACUUAUAGAUGGAUCCGCGCUGCAUUAGCUAGUUGGUAAGGUAACGGCUUACCAAGGCAACGAUGCAUAGCCGACCUGAGAGGGUGAUCGGCCACACUGGAACUGAGACACGGUCCAGACUCCUACGGGAGGCAGCAGUAGGGAAUCUUCCGCAAUGGGCGAAAGCCUGACGGAGCAACGCCGCGUGAGUGAUGAAGGUCUUCGGAUCGUAAAACUCUGUUAUUAGGGAAGAACAUAUGUGUAAGUAACUGUGCACAUCUUGACGGUACCUAAUCAGAAAGCCACGGCUAACUACGUG
rnacentral:rRNA from 1 species